rnacentral:rRNA from 1 species
GUGGGGAAUAUUGGACAAUGGGGGGAACCCUGAUCCAGCCAUGCCGCGUGUGUGAAGAAGGCCUUUUGGUUGUAAAGCACUUUAAGCGAGGAGGAGGCUACCGAGAUUAAUACUCUUGGAUAGUGGACGUUACUCGCAGAAUAAGCACCGGCUAACUCUGUGCCAGCAGCCGUGGUAAUACAGAGGGUGCAAGCGUUAAUCGGAUUUACUGGGCGUAAAGCGCGCGUAGGUGGCCAAUUAAGUCAAAUGUGAAAUCCCCGAGCUUAACUUGGGAAUUGCAUUCGAUACUUGUUGGCUAGAGUAUGGGAGAGGAUGGUAGAAUUCCAGGUGUAGCGGUGAAAUGCGUAGAGAUCUGGAGGAAUACCGAUGGCGAAGGCAGCCAUCUGGCCUAAUACUGACACUGAGGUGCGAAAGCAUGGGGAGCAAACAGGAUUAGAAACCCGAGUAGUCC